ACUAAAAAUACAAAAAUUAGCCGGGCAUGGUGGUGCGCGCCUGUAGUCCCAG
rnacentral:antisense_RNA from 1 species